rnacentral:rRNA from 1 species
AGAGUUUGAUCAUGGCUCAGGAUGAACGCUAGCGACAGGCUUAACACAUGCAAGUCGAGGGGCAGCAUGGGCGUGGCAACACGCCUGAUGGCGACCGGCGCACUGGUGAGUAACACGUAUGCGACCUGCCUCCUUCAGGGGGAUAACCCAGAGAAAUUUGGACUAAUAACCCAUAGUCCGCGCGGCUGCAUGGCCGUGCGGGGAAAGCUGCGGCGGAAGGAGAUGGGUAUGCGGUGCAUUAGCUAGUUGGGGGGGAAACGGUCACCAAGGUUACGAUGGGUAGGGGUUCUGAGAGGAAGGUCCCCCACACUGGUACUGAGACACGGACCAGACUCUUACGGGAGGCAGCAGUGAGGAAUAUUGGUCAAUGGGCGGAGGCCUGAACCAGCCAAGUCGCGUGGGGGACGACGGCCCUACGGGUUGUAAACCCCUUUAGCCGGGGAGUAACAAGCGCCACGCGUGGCGCCAUGAGAGUACCCGGAGAAUAAGCAUCGGCUAACUCCGUGCCAGCAGCCGCGGUAAUACGGAGGAUGCGAGCGUUAUCCGGAUUCAUUGGGUUUAAAGGGUGCGCAGGCGGCGCUCCCAGUCAGCGGUCAAAGUUCCGGGCUCCACCCGGUGCCGCCCGUUGAAACUGGGGUGCUUGAGUAGGUGCGACGGAGGCGGAAUGCGUGGUGUAKCGGUGAAAURCAUAGAUAUCACGCMRRACCCCGMWUGSGAAGGCAGCUGACGMRGSUUAUAACUGACGCUAARGCUYGAAGGUGCGGGCAUCGAACAGGGAUUAGAUACCYKGGUAGUUCCGCACGGGUAAACGAYGGAUGCCCGCUGUGGGCGAUACAGUGUCAGCGGCCAAGCGAAAGCGUUAAAGCAUCCCACCUGGCGAGUACGCCGGCAACGGUGAAACUCAAAGGAAUUGACGCGGGCCCGCACAAGCCGCAGGAACAUGUGGCUUAAUUCGGUGAUACGCGAGGAACCUUACCCGGGCUUGAAGGUUAGUGACGGCGGAUGAAAGUCUGCUUCCCUUCGGGGCACGAAACUAGGUGCUGCAUGAUGGUGAUCAGCUCGUGCCGUGAGGUGUCGGCUUAAGUGCCAUAACGAGCGCAACCCUUGCCGUUAGUUGCCAGCGGGUAAUGCCGGGAACUCUAGCCGGACUGCUACUGUAAGGUACAGGAAGGUGGGGAUGACGUCAAAUCAGCACGGCCCUUACGUCCGGGGCGACACACGUGUUACAAUGCUGAGUACAGAGGGUUGCUACUUGGUAACAAGAUGCUAAUCUCCUAAAACUCAUCUCAGUUCGGAUCGCAGUCUGCAACUCGACUCCGUGAACCUGGAUUCGCUAGUAAUCGCGCAUCAGCCAUGGCCCGGUGAAUACGUUCCCGGGCCUUGUACACACCGCCCGUCAAGCCAUGGAAGCUCGGGGUACCUAAAGUCUGCAACCCCAAGGAGCGGCCUAGGGUAAAACUGGUAACUGGGGCUAAGUCGUAACAAGGUAACCGUA